rnacentral:lncRNA from 1 species
CCAUUAACACAAUUCUGCGCAAGAAACCAGUAACUAAAAUCACCAUGAUUACCCAUCCCAGUCUCAAUUCCAACCACCACCAGAUGAAUACAGAAAAAGGUCCUCUAUUUGUGAAAAAGGGAAAAAAAAAAAAAAAAAACAAAGAGUUUCCAAGCUAACCUAAGGUCCAAAGUCCAACCUUCAGAAAUUAUCCCCAAUCAUCCAAAAUAUGUCUUACCCUCACACAACAGCAGCAAUUUGACCUGCUUGACUCCAUAUUCCAG